CUGCUUUUAGUAGGUACUAACCCCUGCAUACUGGGAACAGCUCAGAACACCUGCUGUUUUGGAGAUGCUCUGACCCAGUCGUCUAGCCUUCACAAUUCGGCAAUUGUCAAAGUCGCUCAGAUCCUUAUGCUUGCCCAUUUUUUAGUGCUUCCAAUACAUCAACUUUGAAAAUCGACUGUUUGCUUCGUGCCUAAUAUAUCCCACCCCUUAACAGGUGCCAUUGUAAUUAGAUAAUCAAUAUUAUUCACUUCACAUAUCAGUGGUUUUAAUGUUAUGUCUAAUCGGUGUAUGAAUUAUCAUGGUAUUAGACACUCUACCUUUGGGCUGAAACAGUGCACCUUCAGGCGAAUCUCAGGAAAGCUGCAGUUGAUGGCUACAUGUAGAGAUGGUUUUAUUUCUUCAAUAAAGCUGUCGUCCUACAAGUGGGAAAAAAAGAAAACAGUACAGAAAAACUACUUAGUAUGGCGUAGUACGCUAAACACAGUGUCCGAAUGAAACAACUAUACAAAGUUCCAUUUGAAAGGAAGGGUGAGCGCAUCAAAGAACUACGUCGCCAAUACAUCCAGAGAGUCAUGGAGUUGGAGGCCAAUCAAAUCCCACAGUAGCCACCUACUCUGCCGUGGAUGCCACUCCACCCAGGUUCUAUAUGGACGUUGUUACAUUUUCCUGUGCCACUGAGGACAUCGCUCCUGCUCCGCUGAGGACGUCGCUCUGCCUUCCUGCU
ensembl:lncRNA